UGGGGAAUAUUGGACAAUGGGGGGAACCCUGAUCCAGCCAUGCCGCGUGUGUGAAGAAGGCCUUAUGGUUGUAAAGCACUUUAAGCGAGGAGGAGGGUACUGGUAUUAAUACUACCAGGUACUGGACGUUACUCGCAGAAUAAGCACCGGCUAACUCUGUGCCAGCAGCCGCGGUAAUACAGAGGGUGCGAGCGUUAAUCGGAUUUACUGGGCGUAAAGCGUGCGUAGGCGGCUAGUUGAGUCGGAUGUGAAAUCCCCGAGCUUAACUUGGGAAUUGCAUUCGAUACUGGUUAGCUAGAGUGUGGGAGAGGAUGGUAGAAUUCCAGGUGUAGCGGUGAAAUGCGUAGAUAUCUGGAGGAAUACCGAUGGCGAAGGCAGCCAUCUGGCCUAACACUGACGCUGAGGUACGAAAGCAUGGGGAGCAAACAGG
rnacentral:rRNA from 1 species